rnacentral:rRNA from 1 species
ACAGCAGUCGCCGCGGUAAUACGAAGGGGGCUAGCGUUGCUCGGAAUUACUGGGCGUAAAGGGCGCGUAGGCGGACAGUUCAGUCGGGGGUGAAAGCCCGGGGCUCAACCUCGGAAUUGCCUUCGAUACUGGCUGUCUUGAGUAUGAGAGAGGUGUGUGGAACUCCGAGUGUAGAGGUGAAAUUCGUAGAUAUUCGGAAGAACACCAGUGGCGAAGGCGGCUCACUGGACUGGUAUUGACGCUGAGGUGCGAAAGCGUGUGGAGCAAACAGGAUUAGAUACCCCCGUAGUCCCUGUCUCUUAUAC